CAAACACUUUGGUUCCGACACUCGAAUAAGUGCCUGUGAAGCAAUAGAAAUUCUACAUCUCAACCAUGAACAAACUCGUCCUGGUGCUCCUGCUUGUAGGCUGCGUCGCUCUGCUGACUCUGCUGCCACAAGUUGCAACAGGUCUGCAAGAGACUAAAGCGGAAUGUUUUUGCGUGAGCCGCCCUUGUGAGUCUUAUGAAAGAAAUAGAGGCCCAUGCCAAUACGGGAGCCUGUGCUGCAGUGGUAGUACGAAAAAAAAAAGUUAAAAAGAGUUAGAU